rnacentral:rRNA from 1 species
CAGGCCUAACACAUGCAAGUCGAACGAAGGCUUCGGCCUUAGUGGCGCACGGGUGCGUAACGCGUGGGAAUCUGCCCCUUGGUUCGGAAUAACAGUUAGAAAUGACUGCUAAUACCGGAUGACGACGUAAGUCCAAAGAUUUAUCGCCGAGGGAUGAGCCCGCGUAGGAUUAGCUAGUUGGUGUGGUAAAGGCGCACCAAGGCGACGAUCCUUAGCUGGUCUGAGAGGAUGAUCAGCCACACUGGGACUGAGACACGGCCCAGACUCCUACGGGAGGCAGCAGUGGGGAAUAUUGGACAAUGGGCGAAAGCCUGAUCCAGCAAUGCCGCGUGAGUGAUGAAGGCCUUAGGGUUGUAAAGCUCUUUUACCCNGGGAUGAUAAUGACAGUACCGGGAGAAUAAGCCCCGGCUAACUCCGUGCCAGCAGCCGCGGUAAU